rnacentral:lncRNA from 1 species
GGCAAGCCGGGUUCAUAACCUUUGUUUUAGAAUUUUUCUUCUUCUCUAUAAAAUGUAUCAAUGCUUUUCAAUAAUUAGGGCUCCUGUCAGUUGCAGAAGAAACCAUCACUCUACUUAUUAGGAAAGUAUUACUUCUGCUAUGUUUUAGUUUAAAAUAUGCUAUUUAGAGGUACCAUCUCUCAGAGACCAACUCAUGCAUGUGCUCAGAGAGGGUCUUAAUUGAUGCAUGAUUUACUACAUGAAGCAAAACUUUGCUUGGAUAGGCUGAAAGACUAUGGCGAGGAAGAGCCCUUUAUACAGUUUUAUAGGCCUGUCUUCUCAUUGGGAGCAUACAUUUACUAAUUGUAUAAUUGGUGGCACAGUUCUUCCAUCAUAAACAUUGUUAUCAGUUAAUUAAACUUGAAAUGCAGCUUUGUUCCGCAA